rnacentral:miRNA from 1 species
UGUUUCAUUUGUUCGUGACUC